ACCUAUGAUGAGUUGCCCAAUACGUGAGAUGUAGGUAACUUCAAGUCCCUGUUUCAGGGAGAACCUACUUGAGGUCCUGCAUUCGAAUGAAAUGCAUGGGCAUUUACUGAGGU